CCUACGGGUGGCAGCAGUGAGGAAUAUUGGUCAAUGGGCGAUAGCCUGAACCAGCCAAGUAGCGUGAAGGAUGACUGCCCUAUGGGUUGUCAACUUCUUUUAUAUGGGAAUAAAGUACAGUAUGCAUACUCCCUUGCAUAUACCUUAUGAAUAAGGAUCGGCUAACUCCGUUCCAGCAGCCGCGGUAAUACGGAGGAUCCGAGCGUUAUCCGGAUUUAUGGGGUUUAAAGGGAGCGUAGGUGGGUUGUUAAGUCAGUUGUGAAAGUUUGCGGCUCAACCGUAAAAUUGCAGUUGAUACUGGCAGUCUUGAGUACAGUAGAGGUAGGCGGAAUUCGUGGUGUAGCGGUGAAAUGCUUAGAUAUCACGAAGAACUCCGAUUGCGAAGGCAGCUCACUGGACUGCAACUGACACUGAUGCUCGAAAGUGUGGGUAUCAAACAGGAUUAGAUACCCUUGUAGUC
rnacentral:rRNA from 1 species